AUGAUUUUGGAAAUUAUAACCAGCAACCUUCUAACUACGGUCCAAUGAAGAGUGGAAACUUUGGUGGUAGCAGGAACAUGGGGGGACCAUAUGGUGGAGGAAACUAUGGUCCAGGAGGCAGUGGAGGAAGUGGGGGUUAUGGUGGGAGGAGCCGAUACUGAGCUUCUUCCUAUUUGCCAUGGGUAAGUAGCUUUUGAGUUUUACAAUUAUUAUUAUCUUGGGAGACAUAGCUGCAGGAGUAAAAGCUUUUUAGGAUCAUGUUAUCUUUCCUUAAAAUCUGGUUAGAUGGAUAAUUUCAUAACCUAUUUUUUUUUUACUCUUUACUUCUGUUGAAACAGGCUUCACUGUAUAAAUAGGAGAGGAUGAGAGCCCAGAGGUAACAGAACAGCUUCAGGUUAUCGAAAUAACAAUGUUAAGGAAACUCUUAUCUCAGUCAUGCAUAAAUAUGCAGUGAUAUGGCAGAAGACACCAGAGCAGAUGCAGAGAGCCAUUUUGUGAAUGGAUUGGAUUAUUUAAUAACAUUACCUUACUGUGGAGGAAGGAUUGUAAAAAAAAAUGCCUUUGAGACAGUUUCUUAGCUUUUUAAUUGUUGUUUCUUUCUAGUGGUCUUUGUAAGAGUGUAGAAGCAUUCCUUCUUUGAUAAUGUUAAAUUUGUAAGUUUCAGGUGACAUGUGAAACCUUUUUUAAGAUUUUUCUCAAAGUUUUGAAAAGCUAUUAGCCAGGAUCAUGGUGUAAUAAGACAUAACGUUUUUCCUUUAAAAAAAUUUAAGUGCGUGUGUAGAGUUAAGAAGCUGUUGUACAUUUAUGAUUUAAUAAAAUAAUUCUAAAGGAAAUUGUGUAAUUAUAGACUUUUUAUUUUAAAUAAGUUAAGGAGUGGGUAGUAUAAUUAAGGUCCGUUGCAAAGCUGUUGUUAUAUUUGUAUAAGAUAAAUGCUGGUCAGAUGUAAGUGUGUUGUCUGCAAUUCAUCAGGAUUAAAUUAUGUAGAUAACUUAAGGGAUAUCUCUGCAAGGAGAAACACCUUUUUAGAUCUUUUAGAUGCUGCUUCUUCAAUGCAAGGAAAGGAAAUAACCCCAGCGAGGUACUCUUCAGGGACACAGGUCUAGUACAAGAGAACUCUUGACGGCUACUAAGUUCAGCCAGUCUUAAAAAACUGUGCUGUUUCUACAAAACUUUAACUACAGUAGUUUAUAAGGAUGCCAACGAAAGCUGAGGGUGUAGAGCAAAAUAGUUCUAAGCUUCAGUUAAACUUCUUUAGGUAAGAUCUUAUUUACUUUUCCUUUCUUAAUUUUCCUCCCUAAAAGAUAAACUAAUACUCUUAAAUGGUCUUUCAGUAUAGUGGUUCUUACGUAGUUUAACAUAGCUAUAAAUUGAGUUUAACAAUUUAUAAACUCAAGAGAAUAAUUUUUAUAAACCCUGUUUUCCAAUCUGUCAUUUACUUAAAUUAUUUUGGUUGUUUUUCCCUUUUUUUCCUUCUUUUCCCACCCCCUCCCCCUCCAUGUGAAGAUUUGGGUGCUUAACAUAUCAUUUUUUUCCCUGCCGGAAUUUUAGCAUUGAUAUGAACCAUGGACAAGUAUAUUCUGCUGCCACAAAGACUGUAAAGUGCUUCAUUUCAACAGCUGAGGCAAGCCAAGUGAUCAUUAAUAAAGCUUUUCUUGGUUCCUUCAGUGGUGUUGGUAGUAAAAUGGAAGGUGUCUUGCUGCAGGUAACUAAUGAAGAAGUGGUCAACCACAGAGUCUUCAAGAAAUAAGAAAUUCUGUACCAUCUGAAAGUAGUUCUUGUUGGUGCCUUCAUUUAAAAAGCACUCUUUAAAAUAAAAGGGAAAUGUUUUCUGAUAAAACAAACAUUUAGUUGAGGUUCUUGAUAUAAAACAAUUACAAAAUGAGUGUUGUUUGUAAAACAGUAACAUCAAAUUGGCUAGAGAGAUAAAUGUAUCAUGUUUUAAAUUAGGUUUUGUGAGUAGACAGAUUACAAUUCUAUUUUAAAUAUAAAGUUUAUAAAAUAAAUACUUUUUGUAUCC
rnacentral:lncRNA from 1 species